rnacentral:rRNA from 1 species
AUUGAACGCUGGCGGAAUGCUUUACACAUGCAAGUCGAACGGCAGCACGGGAGCUUGCUCCUGGUGGCGAGUGGCGAACGGGUGAGUAAUGCGUCGGAACGUACCGAGUAAUGGGGGAUAACGCAGCGAAAGCUGUGCUAAUACCGCAUACGCCCUGAGGGGGAAAGUGGGGGAUCGCAAGACCUCACGUUAUUCGAGCGGCCGACGUCUGAUUAGCUAGUUGGUGGGGUAAAGGCCUACCAAGGCGACGAUCAGUAGCGGGUCUGAGAGGAUGAUCCGCCACACUGGAACUGAGACACGGUCCAGACUCCUACGGGAGGCAGCAGUGGGGAAUUUUGGACAAUGGGGGCAACCCUGAUCCAGCCAUUCCGCGUGAGUGAAGAAGGCCUUCGGGUUGUAAAGCUCUUUCAGCUGGAACGAAACGGU